UAUUCAACAAACUUUAUUCAAAGGAGGGCGGAAAGUGAGGACAGUGGGGGAAACUACUGGCGCUGGAGUAUAUAUUGUGGAAAGUAUCUCGACUGGUUGCAAAAUGGCCUGGUAUGGCAAUUCCAACUCACAGGUACGCAGGACGUUGCAGUGAGUGGUGGACACAGCCCCUACCUCCAUCGAAAGCAUCGAUAUGUGCAAACUCAAGGUGGCAACAUCUAACAUUAAAGUUUCCCAUCCUCUUCUCACUGCUACCAUUGGGCAACUGGUACAAAAGCCUGAAGCCCCACACCACCAUGUUCAGGAACAACGACUGUACCUCAUCAACUAUCAGGUUCUUGAACCAGCCCUUACAACCCUAAUCUUACCUUCAAAAUAAAACACUACGACCCACCACUGGCACAAUCAGACUUGAUUUUUAUUUUCAAAUAUGUUUUUUUGCACUAAAUGUCUUUUUGCAUGGUCUUUCUUUUAGAAAUAUUAUGUCAUUUAUGUAUAUUUGCUUUUCUGUCAGAGUAUGUGCCUGUGAUGCUGCUGCAAGCAAGAUUUAUCUUUGUACCUGUAGCUCAUCAUACUUGUGCAUGUGACAAUAAACUCAACUUGAAUCUGG